rnacentral:lncRNA from 1 species
UCACGCCCCGGGACCGGCGGAGGCCCUCCCGGUAGCGUGCCCAGACCCGCCAUAUGUCAACACAUAUAAGGCGUCUACAACAAAAGCGGAAGUAAAAGCAAGAAUAGAGCAAACGACGAGGUGAAAUAACUAUCAACUAAUGAUAUCAGAGCAAGUAAAGCUAGACAAUAAAGAAAUCAUAAGUAGUACAAUNUUUAUGGAAUAUGGUUAAUAUGACCAAUUGGAAGAUUGUUAGGAUUUUCAUAAUUGUGGCCCAAUUAAUUAUAUUCAAAUUUGGAUUUAUUAUAAAUAAAGGUCAAUCCUAAUAGAUAUAGAACUACUUGAUAUGGUAUAUUUUAUCCCUUUUUCCAUCUAUUUAAAUUAAAUAAAAUCAGAAUCGGACUUUGAUGGGAAGUCGAUCCAGACUAUAUAUAAAGGGGUAUUGGUCCUACCAUAUUCUCAUACGCAUUCUGAUGAACAAUUACCAUCAGUUUCACACCAUAUGGGAGAGAGCCUGAGAAAGAAGGAGAUACCAAAUUACCUAAAUUCAGUUGGUGACGUUCAAAUUAUAGCCGGACUUCUUGCUUCCACAGAUUGAUGAAGAAUUUUUUUUCUAUGGCACUCUGUGAGUUAUUUUAUUUUGUAUGAUCCUAAAUUUUGGUAUGGAUUUAUUUUUAUUGUUGUUU